rnacentral:rRNA from 1 species
CAGCAGCCGCGGUAAUACGGGGGAUGCAAGCGUUAUCCGGAAUCAUUGGGCGUAAAGCGCCUGUAGGUUGUCUAAUAAGUCUGUUGUUAAAGACUAGGGCUUAACCCUGGGAAAGCGAUGGAAACUACUAGGCUUGAGUAUGGUAGGGGUAGAGGGAAUUUCUAGUGUAGCGGUGAAAUGCGUAGAUAUUAGAAAGAACACCGGUGGCGAAAGCGCUCUACUGGGCCAUUACUGACACUGAGAGGCGAAAGCUAGGGGAGCAAAAGGGAUUAGAUACCCCUGUAGUCCUAGCCGUAAACGAUGGAUACUAGGUGUUGUAUUAUUAUACAGUAUCGUAGCUAACGCGUUAAGUAUCCCGCCUGGGGAGUACGCUCGCAAGGGUGAAACUCAAAGGAAUUGACGGGGGCCCGCACAAGCGGUGGAGCAUGUGGUUUAAUUCGAUGCAACGCGAAGAACCUUACCAGGGCUUGACAUACUACAAAUCUUUUUGAGACGAAAGAGUGCCUUCGGGAAUGUAGAUACAGGUGGUGCAUGGCUGUCGUCAGCUCGUGUCGUGAGAUGUUGGGUUAAGUCCCGCAACGAGCGCAACCCUCGUUUUUAGUUGCCAAUUUAUUGGGAUUUCUAGAGAGACUGCCGGUGAUAAACCGGAGGAAGGUGAGGAUGACGUCAAGUCAGCAUGCCCCUUAUGCCCUGGGCCACACACGUGCUACAAUGACAAAGACAAAGAGUCGCAAAUUCGCGAGAACUAGCUAAUCUCAUAAACUUUGUCCAAGUUC